UACGAAGGGGGCUAGCGUUGCUCGGAAUCACUGGGCGUAAAGCGCACGUAGGCGGAUUGCUAAGUCAGGGGUGAAAUCCUGGAGCUCAACUCCAGAACUGCCUUUGAUACUGGCGGUCUCGAGUCCGGGAGAGGUGAGUGGAACUGCGAGUGUAGAGGUGAAAUUCGUAGAUAUUAGGAAGAACACCAGUGGCGAAGGCGGCUCACUGGCCCGGUACUGACGCUGAGGCGCGAAAGCGUGGGGAGCAAACAGG
rnacentral:rRNA from 1 species